rnacentral:rRNA from 1 species
ACAUGCCUACAACAUAGCGUUAAUGCAUCGAUUCUCGAAUACCAUUAGAACUCUGAAAUUAAGCAUGCUCAAGCUAUAGUAGUAUUGAGAUGGGUGACUUCUCGAGAAGUCCUAGUGUUUUACAUGCC